GGAGGAUCCAAGCGUUAUCCGGAAUCAUUGGGUUUAAAGGGUCCGUAGGCGGUCUAGUAAGUCAGUGGUGAAAGCCCAUCGCUCAACGGUGGAACAGCCAUUGAUACUGCUGGACUUGAAUUAUUAGGAAGUAACUAGAAUAUGUAGUGUAGCGGUGAAAUGCUUAGAGAUUACAUGGAAUACCAAUUGCGAAGGCAGGUUACUACUAAUGGAUUGACGCUGAUGGACGAAAGCGUGGGUAGCGAACAGGAUUAGAUACCCUGGUAGUUCACGCCGUAAACGAUGGAUACUAGCUGUUGGGCGCAAGUUCAGUGGCUAAGCGAAAGUGAUAAGUAUCCCACCUGGGGAGUACGUUCGCAAGAAUG
rnacentral:rRNA from 1 species